UUUGAAGUAACAAAAUCUCUAACAUGUAUCCAGCUCUCAGUAUGCGCCAGCUGAUACACCUGUAUCAAUUUCUCUAACCUUCCCAAAAUCUCAUGAGAUCACUUCCUGCCUCCCAGGACCACUGAGAUUGGUUAUGGACCACUGAGAGGAGAUGGAUGACAGAAUGGUUUAUAAACUCAGCCUCCGGCAUCUACCAGAGCCACAAUCCCAGCCUCAGCCAUUCCUGCUACAAGGGAGAGGGAGUGGGAAGGGAGAAUCAAGUUCCUGACGCCUUGCUGGACUCCCCGAUCGACAGCUCUUCUGCCUGCCUCGCAACAGGCAGCAGCUAUAGCGCCCCUGACACACACCUGGGCUAGCAGACCUGGCCACUGCCCCGCAGUCAACAGAGCCGUCAGCCUUGUCUGCCACCGACCAGGGACCAGUGACUCUCCUCUCAGGGCUGGGAUUAAGUUGCAAAGGGUUUGAGAGAUUGUGGAUGACAAAAGGGACUUGGAGACUAAUUAGGAGCAGCAAUGAAAGCUUAAUUCAUAAAAGGAAACAUUUUCCAUCCAUCAACCUGCAACCAGUUAAGGGCACCGUUUGAAAGAAAUCUGUGCGUGGGGAAGGGAGCCAACAGGAACAGGAAAUGUUUGAAAGAAUGUAAACUAUUUCAGUUUCAUAAAAAGUAACAAGUAAACAGUUAUU